AACCCAAACUAAUAGACCCACGGCGUAAAGCGUGUUAUAGAGAAAAAAUAUACUAAAGUUAAACCUUAGCUAAGCCGUAAAAAGCUACAGCUAACAUGAAAAUACAGCACGAAAGUAACUUUAAUAUCUCCAACCACACGAUAGCUAAGACCCAAACUGGGAUUAGAUACCCCACUAUGCUUAGCCCUAAACCUAGAUAGUUAACUCAAACAAAACUAUCCGCCAGAGAACUACUAGCAACAGCUUAAAACUCAAAGGACUUGGCGGUGCUUUACAUCCCUCUAGAGGAGCCUGUUCUAUAAUCGAUAAACCCCGAUAUACCUCACCAUCUCUUGCUAAUU
rnacentral:rRNA from 1 species